CUUGAUCGAGCCCAUCCACAGUGGACGGUCCCGAUCCUUGCCGUACGUGGCGAGCACCGCCUGGGCCUC
rnacentral:antisense_RNA from 1 species